rnacentral:rRNA from 1 species
CACUCCUACGGGAGGCAGCAGUGGGGAAUAUUGCACAAUGGGCGGAAGCCUGAUGCAGCAACGCCGCGUGCGGGAUGACGGCCUUCGGGUUGUAAACCGCUUUCGCCUGUGACGAAGCGUGAGUGACGGUAAUGGGUAAAGAAGCACCGGCUAACUACGUGCCAGCAGCCGCGGUGAUACGUAGGGUGCGAGCGUUGUCCGGAUUUAUUGGGCGUAAAGGGCUCGUAGGUGGUUGAUCGCGUCGGAAGUGUAAUCUUGGGGCUUAACCCUGAGCGUGCUUUCGAUACGGGUUGACUUGAGGAAGGUAGGGGAGAAUGGAAUUCCUGGUGGAGCGGUGGAAUGCGCAGAUAUCAGGAGGAACACCAGUGGCGAAGGCGGUUCUCUGGGCCUUUCCUGACGCUGAGGAGCGAAAGCGUGGGGAGCGAACAGGCUUAGAAACCCUGGUAGUCCCAUGAU